rnacentral:rRNA from 1 species
GACGAACGCUGGCGGCGUGCUUAACACAUGCAAGUCGAACGGAAAGGCCCUGCUUUUGUGGGGUGCUCGAGUGGCGAACGGGUGAGUAACACGUGAGUAACCUGCCCUUGACUUUGGGAUAACUUCAGGAAACUGGGGCUAAUACCGGAUAGGAGCUCCUGCUGCAUGGUGGGGGUUGGAAAGUUUCGGCGGUUGGGGAUGGACUCGCGGCUUAUCAGCUUGUUGGUGGGGUAGUGGCUUACCAAGGCUUUGACGGGUAGCCGGCCUGAGAGGGUGACCGGCCACAUUGGGACUGAGAUACGGCCCCGAAUCCUACGGGAGGCAGCAGUGGGGAAUAUUGCACAAUGGGCGGAAGCCUGAUGCAGCAACGCCGCGUGGGGGAUGAAGGCCUUCGGGUUGUAAACCGCUUUCGCCUGUGACGAAGCGUGAGUGACGGUAAUGGGUAAAGAAGCACCGGCUAACUACGUG